UAAGGAAUAUUGGUCAAUGGACGCAAGUCUGAACCAGCCAUGCCGCGUGAAGGAUGAAGGUCCUCUGGAUUGUAAACUUCUUUUAUCUGGGACGAAAACGGGAUUUUUAUCUCAAUUGACGGUACCAGAGGAAUAAGCACCGGCUAACUCCGUGCCAGCAGCCGCGGUAAUACGGAGGGUGCGAGCGUUAUCCGGAUUUACUGGGUUUAAAGGGUGCGUAGGUGGGCUUAUAAGUCAGUGGUGAAAUCUCCGAGCUUAACUUGGAAACUGCCGUUGAUACUAUAGGUCUUGAAUUAUCUGGAGGUAAGCGGAAUAUGUCAUGUAGCGGUGAAAUGCUUAGAUAUGACAUAGAACACCAAUUGCGAAGGCAGCUUACCACAUAUAAAUUGACGCUGAGGCACGAAAGCGUGGGGAUCAAACA
rnacentral:rRNA from 1 species